rnacentral:rRNA from 1 species
GACGAACGCUGGCGGCGCGCCUAACACAUGCAAGUCGAACGGAGUCAAGAGGAGCUUGCUUUUCUUGACUUAGUGGCGAACGGGUGAGUAACGCGUGAGUAACCUGCCCUGGAGUGGGGGACAACAGUUGGAAACGACUGCCAAUACCGCAUAAGCCCACGGAUCUGCAUGGAUCUGCGGGAAAAGGAUUUAUUCGCUCUAGGAUGGACUCGCGUCCAAUUAGCUAGUUGGUGAGGUAACGGCCCACCAAGGCGACGAUUGGUAGCCGAACUGAGAGGUUGAACGGCCACAUUGGGACUGAGACACGGCCCAGACUCCUACGGGAGGCAGCAGUGGGGGAUAUUGCACAAUGGGGGAAACCCUGAUGCAGCGACGCCGCGUGGAGGAAGAAGGUUUUCGGAUUGUAAACUCCUGUCGUUAGGGACGAUAAUGACGGUACCUAACAAGAAAGCACCAGCUAACUACGUG